rnacentral:rRNA from 1 species
UACCAGCUCUCCGAGUGGUAGGGAUGUUUAUUGGGCUUAAAGCGUCCGUAGCCGGCUUAGCAAGUCUCCUGUUAAAUUCAGCGACCUAAUCGUUGAGCCGCGGGAGAUACUACUAGGCUAGGAGGCGGGAGAGGUCAACGGUACUUCCGGGGUAGGGGUGAAAUCCUAUAAUCCCGGGAGGACCACCAGUGGCGAAGGCUGUUGACUAGAACGCGCUCGACGGUGAGGGACGAAAGCUGGGGGAGCGAACCGGAUUAGAUACCCGGGUAGUCCCAGCUGUAAACGAUGCGAGCUAGGUGUUGGGGUGGCUACGUGCCACUUCAGUGCCGCAGGGAGCCAUUAAGCUCGCCGCCUGGGGAGUACGGCGGCAAGGCUGAAACUUAAAGGAAUUGGCGGGGGAGCACCACAAGGCGUGAAGCUUGCGGUUC